ACGGAAGGCAGCAGUGGGGGAUAUUGCACGAUGGGGGAAACCCUGAUGCAGCGACGCCGCGUGAGUGAUGAAGUAUUUCGGUAUGUAAAGCUCUAUCAGCAGGAAAGAUAAUGACGGUACCUGACUAGGAAGCACCGGCUAAAUACGUGCCAGCAGCCGCGGUAAUACGUAUGGUGCAAGCGUUAUCCGGAUUUACUGGGUGUAAAGGGAGCGCAGACGGCAUGGCAAGCCAGAUGUGAAAGGCAGGGGCUCAACUCCUGGACUGCAUUUGGAACUGUCAAGCUAGAGUAUCGGAGAGGUAAGUGGAAUUCCUAGUGUAGCGGUGAAAUGCGUAGAUAUUAGGAGGAACACCAGUGGCGAAGGCGGCUUACUGGACGAUAACUGACGUUGAGGCUCGAAAGCGUGGGGAGCAAACAGGAUUAGAUACCCUGGUA
rnacentral:rRNA from 1 species